rnacentral:tRNA from 1 species
GGUAGUGUAACUCAAAUGGUAGACUGUCUGCUUUUCAAGCAUGAGGCUCUGAGUUCAAACCCUAGUACUGCCA